rnacentral:rRNA from 1 species
AUUGAACGCUGGCGGCUGGCCUAACACAUGCAAGUCGAGCGGAUGAAGGGAGCUUGCUCCUGGAUUCAGCGGCGGACGGGUGAGUAAUGCCUAGGAAUCUGCCUGGUAGUGGGGGAUAACGUCCGGAAACGGGCGCUAAUACCGCAUACGUCCUGAGGGAGAAAGUGGGUGAUCUUCGGACCUCACGCUCUCAGAUGAGCCUAGGUCGGAUUAGAUAGUUGGUGGGGUAAAGGCCUACCAAGGCGACGAUCCGUAACUGGUCUGAGAGGAUGAUCAGUCACACUGGAACUGAGACACGGUCAAGACUCCUAAGGGAGGCAGCAGUGGGAAAUAUUGGACAAUGGGCGAAAGCCUGAUCCAGCCAUGCCGCGUGUGUGAAGAAGGUCUUCGGAUUGUAAAGCACUUUAAGUUGGGAGGAAGGGCAGUAAGUUAAUACCUUGCUGUUUUGACGUUACCAACAGAAUAAGCACCGGCUAACUUCGUG